GACGGACCACACGAACGUUAUUCGGAAUUACUGGGCUUAAAGGGUGCGUAGGCUGUGCAGAAAGUUGGGUGUGAAAUCCCUCGGCUUAACCGAGGAACUGCGCCCAAAACUACUGUGCUUGAGAAAGAUAGAGGUAAGCGGAACUUAGGGUGGAGCGGUGAAAUGCGUUGAUAUCCUAAGGAACACCGGUGGCGAAGGCGGCUUACUGGGUCUUUUCUGACGCUGAGGCACGAAAGCUAGGGUAGCGAACGGG
rnacentral:rRNA from 1 species